rnacentral:sRNA from 1 species
GAGUCAAGCACCCAGCUUCACCCUGGGGUUGGCCGCACAGCUUCACCGGGGCCACAGCUGCUGAUGACAAUGGCAGUAGUGGCCAGUGUCUGCUGGCACGACCUCCCAUCAUCCCAGGAAGGGGCAGCGCCAGCGGGGCACAGAUGCCUGCCAUCACAGAUGGAAACAGCAGGUAAAUGGCACUUGUUUCCCCCAGGUGUGGAGAUGCUUGUGUCUGGGACCUCCUGCCAUUUCUCAGGACACCAUCCUGCUCCUAGCUGGGAGAUUCAGCAUCCUCAUGAAUGCAGGGCCCAAGGCCACCAACUGUUCCACCUGCUGUCAGCCAGGCCUGUUGCCCCAGCCCUAUACCCACAGCUCACCCAGCAGGGACUGGAGUGUGCUGCUGCACUGCUGGAGCCGGUCGCCCGGGUCGGAGGUUGGGAAGAAGACAGCCGCUGGCAGGCCGCUGGUUGGGGGGUCCAGCCGGAAGCCCACAGCGGUGAGGAGGGCCUGCCAGCCAGGGAUGCCACCCACUUUGUUCUCCACACUCUGCUGGGACGUGUACAUGGCAUUGCGCUGCCCAUUCUGGAUGCGCUGCAGGGACUUCUCCACCUGGGGGGGAAUUGGGGUAAACACUGGGAUGCUGGAGCUCAGGCAUCCCAGACAGGAGGAGUGUGUACUCACACCAGCCAGGAGGAAACAAGCCUGCCUGAGAGGACAGAGGAUCAGCCCUGGCUGUCCCUCGGGAGCGGGGGGCCUCCAAGGCACACUGCCCACUGGGUCAAGGAGUAUCCAGGAGGAGUUAGAAGCAUGACCCAUCCG